GGGGCCAAAGAAAGCCUGUUUAGGCUACCCAUUUAAGCGAGGAAAAGUUUAUUUUUCUUUUCUUUUCCUUUUUCUUUUCUCCCUCGCCAAACUACUCCCCGACGGUUUCCUUUCUCUUAUUUCUCUCCCGAUUCUUCUCUUCCGCCACAGAUCCCUUCUUCUCCCCCUUUCCUUCUUCUUCCUCUUCUCUCGUGGAUAAAAGGGGCAGCCAAGGAGUCUCAUUUCUUCUCUUCUCCUCUGUGUGCCGACACCGACCUAGCGCCGUCACCUGUGCCCUAGCUCACCACCGACACCCUCUUCUUCUCUUCUCCUUCCAUUCCAAGCGUCGCCGCCACACGGGACAGCGUCGGCCUUCUCCACGCCGAGCCCUAGUUUCCCGAUGUCGACUUCUUCCUCUCUGCCGCAUCUCUGCACAACGCCACUGCCCCUCUCCGAUCUCUUCUGUGCUGCCACCGACCACCCCAGUCCGACGCUGACUUCACUGCCCAGCGCCACUCCGAUCAUCCUCUGCCAUAGCACCGGUCUGCCAGUCGUCCAGUGCCAGCAGCCACCUUGUUAUAGACCUGAGUCUCUGGUAUUAAGGUUUCUAGCAGCAGCUUCGUCGGGUUCUUGGUCAUCGCAGGCAAUUAGAGGAAGAGGUAAGGUGCUUAGGUUGUUUUGGAAAUUUGGUUGUUGUUUAGAUGUCGAUUUCUUGAGCUUCAUUUUGAUCAAGACAAUGCAUUGCAGGGCGUUUCUUAAUUUCCAACAGCUACCUCUGUCUCGACAGCAGGUUGUCUUUGCUAUGGAUUUGUUGGGCUGUGGAUUAAGGACUGAUUCGAGACGAGCGUCUUGACGUCGGAUUUAGACUGGAUAUGAUCCUUAUAUUGGAGAUAUAGGAAAGGAAAAAGAUAUAGAAAGGAAGGCGACAAGGAGGUGUUCGAAGGAUG